CACCUGAGUAAAUGAGCAUACUCAUUUUUUUUCUUCUUCUUUUCCCUUCUCUCUCCCCGAAACCCCUUCUUCUUCUCCCUUUUUCUUUUCUUUUCUUUCCUUUGUUUUCUCUCCAAACCAGUCACGGCCACAACCAGUUGGACCACCGCCGGAGCGUCAUUUCCGACACGCGCUGUAGCUGCAGCUUCCCUGACCGGCGAUUACGGAAACUCCAAAGUUUGGUGGCCAUCGGAGCAAGGACACGCCUAUACAGCCACUCCGAAGUUUCGCCGUCGAAACUUUGAGGUGACUUUCCGGCGAACUCCGACCACCGUUCGGCGAGUGGGUGGUACCGUUGGAAUCAGCGUCGUGAGAGGAUCGUCGCCCACUAAGUCAUUCCGGUCAACUCACCAUUUUUCUCCGGCGAGAUUUUGGGUAUAUUCACCCCUUUGGAAGCAUUUUCCAGCGACACCAGAGCUCAUUUGGGCGAAGGAGCUGUACUUUUGUGAUGUACUCAUCGGGAUGAUCGUUUUGAUAUAUACCAUGUAUAUAUUCGUUAACGUUUCCGGUACCGCCACCAACCGCUAUUGUGCACCGCUUGGGAAAAACGUGAUAUUAAAAUCGGACUAAAUCAUUCUAAGAUCAUCGAUAAGCUUAGGAGCAUUGCUUUGGGCUCGGAUUAAAUUCUAAGGAUGUAUCUAAAGAGGUAGAGAUUCAACUAGACUAUUGGACUUAUUUUACUCGUAUUAAAUUGCAUUCAACAUAUUCCAAUUUUGAUAUUUAUAAAAUGUUUGAAAAAUUGAAAACUUAACCUGAAUGUUUUCUGAUCUGUUCUGAGGGUACCGAGUGCCAAAUAUAUAUUUUGUUCACUUAUUUAUGCAGGUUAUGAUUUUUGGGUUUAUUCAAAUGUGGUUAUGCUGCCCAAUUUUCUAAAAAAUAAAGGAGCCUAGUGACGCGAACGUGGAAAUGAUGAAUUAUCGAUGGAGCCAAUGUGUUUAGCCUAUUUCUAUUUCGGGUCAUUGUCUUAUCUUUUGAGCAUUAUAUAUGUAUUCGACUUCGAAUCUAAUGAUCGGUAUAUCUGAAUGAGCUAUGAAAUAGUUAGAGAUGAGGAAUGGUGGAUGCUAAGUAUUAUUUUGAGUGUUUAUGACUUAUUGAAUUUAACAAUUUGGUGAUUACAUAACUGUGAGAAUAUUAU